rnacentral:rRNA from 1 species
UUCCGGUUGAUCCCGCCGGACCUGACUGCUAUCGGAUUGAUACUAAGCCAUGCGAGUCAUUGUAGCAAUACAAGGCAUACGGCUCAGUAACGCGUAGUCAACCUAACCUAUGGACGGGAAUAACCUCGGGAAACUGAGAAUAAUGCCCGAUAGAACACUAUGCCUGGAAUGGUUUGUGUUCCAAAUGAUUUAUCGCCGUAGGAUGGGACUGCGGCCUAUCAGUUUGUUGGUGAGGUAAUGGCCCACCAAGACUAUUACAGGUACGGGCUCUGAGAGGAGUAGCCCGGAGAUGGGUACUGAGACACGGACCCAGGCCCUAUGGGGCGCAGCAGGCGAGAAAACUUUGCAAUGUGCGAAAGCACGACAAGGUUAAUCCGAGUGGUUUGUGCUAAACAGACCUUUUGUUAGUCCUAGAAACACUAACGAAUAAGGGGUGGGCAAGUUCUGGUGUCAGCCGCCGCGGUAAAACCAGCACCUCAAGUGGUCAGGAUGAUUAUUGGGCCUAAAGCAUCCGUAGCCGGCUCUGUAAGUUUUCGGUUAAAUCUGUAUGCUCAACAUACAGGCUGCCGGGAAUACUGCAGAGCUAGGGAGUGGGAGAGGUAGACGGUACUCGGUAGGAAGGGGUAAAAUCCUUUGAUCUAUUGAUGACCACCUGUGGCGAAGGCGGUCUACCAGAACACGUCCGACGGUGAGGGAUGAAAGCUGGGGGAGCAAACCGGAUUAGAUACCCGGGUAGUCCCAGCUGUAAACUAUGCAAACUCGGUGAUGCAUUGACUUGAUGCCAAUGCAGUGCCGCACGAAGCCGUUAAGUUUGCCGCCUGGGAAGUACGUACGCAAGUAUGAAACUUAAAGGAAUUGGCGGGGGAGCACCCACAACGGGGUGAGCCUGCGUUCAAUUGGAGUCACGCGGAAAU